rnacentral:rRNA from 1 species
GACGUAGGGGGCGAGCGUUGUCCGGAAUUACUGGGCGUAAAGAGCACGUAGGCGGGAACUUAAGUCAGGUGUGAAAGACCGUGGCUCAACCACGGGUAUGCAUUUGAAACUGGGUUUCUUGAGGGCAGGAGAGGAAAGCAGAAUUCCUGGUGUAGCGGUGAAAUGCGUAGAAAUCAGGAGGAAUACCAGUGGCGAAGGCGGCUUGUUGGGCCUUACCUGACGCUGAGGAGCGAAAGUGUGGGGAGCAAACAGGAUUAGAUACCCUGGUAGUCCCUGAG